CGUAAACAAAGGGAGGCGAAGUGGUGACAUGGAGCGAAUCCCAAAAAUAACGUCCCAGUUCGGAUUGUAGUCUGCAACCCGACUACAUGAAGCUGGAAUCGCUAGUAAUCGCGGAUCAGAAUGCCGCGGUGAAUACGUUCCCGGGUCUUGUACACACCGCCCGUCACACCAUGGGAGCCGGUAACGCCCGAAGUCAGUGACCCAACCGAGAGGAGGGAGCUGCCGAAGGCGGGACAGGUAACUGGGGUGAAGUCGUAACAAGGUACC
rnacentral:rRNA from 1 species